rnacentral:rRNA from 1 species
GGUUGACCUCGGAUAA